rnacentral:rRNA from 2 species
AUGCAGUCGAGCGGAGAAAUGGGAGCUUGCUCCCAUUUCUCAGCGGCGGACGGGUGAGUAACACGUGGGCAACCUGCCCUACAGACUGGGAUAACUCCGGGAAACCGGAGCUAAUACCGGGUAAUACAUAGCAUCGCAUGAUGCAACGUUGAAAGUUGGCUUUCGAGCUAACACUGUAGGAUGGGCCCGCGGCGCAUUAGCUAGUUGGUAAGGUAACGGCUUACCAAGGCCACGAUGCGUAGCCGACCUGAGAGGGUGAUCGGCCACACUGGGACUGAGACACGGCCCAGACUCCUACGGGAGGCAGCAGUAGGGAAUCUUCCGCAAUGGACGAAAGUCUGACGGAGCAACGCCGCGUGAGUGACGAAGGCCUUCGGGUCGUAAAGCUCUGUUGUUAGGGAAGAACAAGUACCGUUCGAAUAGGGCGGUACCUUGACGGUACCUAACCAGAAAGCCACGGCUAACUACGUGCCAGCAGCCGCGGUAAUACGUAGGUGGCAAGCGUUGUCCGGAAUUAUUGGGCGUAAAGCGCGCGCAGGCGGUCUCUUAAGUCUGAUGUGAAAGCCCACGGCUCAACCGUGGAGGGCCAUUGGAAACUGGGGGACUUGAGUGCAGAAGAGGAGAGUGGAAUUCCACGUGUAGCGGUGAAAUGCGUAGAUAUGUGGAGGAACACCAGUGGCGAAGGCGGCUCUCUG